AGACAAUGGCAAAGAAGGAACAUUCUACCAAGAAGAAUUUACAUUCUGGCAUCGGGGUGCCCAUGUUGAAAGGCUCUAUGAUGUUAGGUUCUACCAGCUCUGUGAUGUUGGGCAAGUUACUCUCCCAAAGACUGAAUUUCCUCCUCAGCACAAUGGAAACACUAGCAGGACCCCCCUUUCCAGGUUGGGUGGAAUGGAGGAGAGAAUGCUUGCAUUACACUCAGUGGAGUGCCUGGCUCACAGAAUCACUCAGGGAUGGCGAGUGGGCAGCAUUCAGUUGCCUCCCUUUCCUUUGUUCUUACAGAAUAAACAUGCCCAACUUGGGGUUAAGUCUAAUCUCUCUAUCUCAUGCUUCGAUUCCAUGUCCCCACGUUAUCUUCCCAAGCUUUCCUCAUUGCUUUAUUCCCUCUUCUGUCUCUGUCCCUCUCCACCAGCAACUUCUGUGAGUGCUAAAAACAUGUCAACCUUCUCCUGUCUUUAAAGAAAGCAGGAAACCCUUAACCAAGUUCCUGUAAAGCUUCCAUUCCUUAGUGUCUUCAUUUCCUCCCUUUUUAGUUUUCACCUCCCUUAAUAAUAGCCACCAUUGAUAGUAGGCCCACUAUUUCUCAAGAACUUUAUUUUCCUUUGGAAGAUAGCUAUUAUGCCCCUUUUUCCACAGAUAAGAAACCUUGGAUUCAGAUAAUUUUGUUUUGUUUAUUUUGUGUGUGUUUGUUGUAGUACUGGGGACUGAAGCCAUGGCCUUGUGCAUGCUAGGUCAGCACUUUACCACUGAGAUACAUGCACAGCCCUUUCUAUUUUAGCACAGGGUCUCUCUAUGUUCCCCAGGCUGGCCUCCAACUUCUGAUCCUGAUGCCUCAGUUUCCCAGAGUAACUGGCCUAAUGGAUCUGUGCCACCAUACCCAGCUCAGAGAAGAUUUGAAUUUAGAUCUACCUCAGUCCAGAACUGUCCAAUUUG
rnacentral:lncRNA from 1 species